rnacentral:misc_RNA from 1 species
UCCGGUUUGUCACCGGCAGUCACCUUAGAGUGCCCAACUGAAUGCUGGCAACUAAGAUCAAGGGUUGCGCUCGUUGCGGGACUUAACCCAACAUCUCACGACGCGAGCUGACGACAACCAUGCACCACCUGUCACUCUGCCCCCGAAGGGGACGUCCUAUCUCUAGGAUUGUCAGAGGAUGUCAAGACCUGGUAAGGUGGGGAUGACGUGUGAGAGUACGUCC